GAUUAUAUAUUUUAAGCAGAAUAUCGUAUAUAAUUCAUUUGUAUUAUUUAAAAGAAAUAACCAAUAAAAAUGAAAUAAAAAAGUCGUUUUUAAAUUUUAUGCAUCAUAUAAUUUUGAUAUAUAAAAAAUGGAUAACACAAGAUCCUAUUAAUAGUAAACAUUUAUUAAGUGAUUUUGCUAACAAUACGUUUAUACAAUUAUUAAAUAUAAAAGAUAUAAAUGAUGUUACAACAGGUGCUAAUAGUAAUAUAAUCGGCAAUACCAUAGUCAGUACUGAUAUGGGACAAAAUUAUAAAAAAAACAAUUUGCCUAGUAAUAAUAACCUGAACAAUGAACAAGGUAUACAACAACUUUUAAUUACUAAAAUGGAAAAUACAAACGAAAUAAAAGGCAUUAAUAUAAGAGAUUUUUUUUUAUUAAUAGAAAAAGAACAUAUCGUUGAUAUGUUAAAAGAUAUGUCAAAUAAAAAUUGUUGUGUACAUUUAAAAAAUAAUAUAAUUUUAGAAGAAAAUGAUUGCAUAAAUGAAUAUAGUCUUAUAUGUAUUGAAUUACUAAAAAAUAUAUCAAAUAGAAUUACACAUUUCGAUCAUAGUAAUGAGUUUGUUGAAGAUUAUAUAAGUCAAGUUGUAAAUAAAAUAUUAAUAAUUAUGAAAGAUGAAUUUCGUAAUAAAUGGAACAUUAUAGAUGAUUUGAUAGGAGACUGUAAUACGACAUGUUUAUUAUAUUUAUCAUUUUGCACUUUGAAUAGAUUUUUAAAAGAAUUUAAAUAUAAAACACAUAUAAAAGAAAUGAUUAGUAGUUAUAAAGCCUUAAAAAAAAAAAUGUUUUAUAACUUUUUAGAUGCAUUUUACCAUUUUAUUACAAUCAGAAUAUAUAAUUUAUUUACUGUUCAUUAUAUAUAUCAUGAGUAUAUAUUUAACAAUUUAAAUAAAAUUAAAAGGGCGUUGCCAUAUAAUCUUUUUAUGAUUAUAUGUAAAAAAAUAUUACACAAACUAGAUCAUACGAUACUAGAUUACAUAUUAAACCAGAGCACGACAUUUUUUCAUAACGAGUACACAUUUAACGUUUUUAUUACAAACUCA
rnacentral:lncRNA from 1 species